rnacentral:rRNA from 1 species
GACGUAGGGCGCGAGCGUUGUCCGGAUUUAUUGGGCGUAAAGAGCUCGUAGGCGGCUUGUCGCGUCGUUCGUGAAAACCUGCAGCUCAACUGCAGGCUUGCGGGCGAUACGGGCAGGCUAGAGUUCGGUAGGGGAGACUGGAAUUCCUGGUGUAGCGGUGAAAUGCGCAGAUAUCAGGAGGAACACCGGUGGCGAAGGCGGGUCUCUGGACAGUUCCUGACACUGAGGCACGAAGGCCAGGGGAGCAAACGGG